GAGAGCUCAGAGACAAGAUCAAGCCAAUUCAAGGAGGAUCAAAGUUAGGCUGCCAUCUAGAAUCUAGGACCCGCCCAUCUAGUCACAUGUGUAUCCCUAGUGCUUCCCAUUCCUACUGCAUGUACACCCCUAGCUCACCCCUU
rnacentral:miRNA from 1 species